GCAAAACAAACACACGGCUCUCAAAGAAACACACUCCAGUGACUUUCAAUUAGCCUCAUUAGACUCAUUUGAGGGAAGUUAAUUAAAACAUUAUCUCAGCAGCCCGCUUAUUGCUUGAUUUCUCAAGUGUUCGAGGGAUAGUUCACCCAAAACUUAAAAAUGUGCCAUCCAAGAUCUAGUUGGCUUUUUUUCUUUUCAUUUGAACAUUAACAAAUUUGUUAGCUUGAAAUUGUGAGUUAUUUAAAGCGAGUCAAUGGCUGAGAGUCAAACAAACAUAUACAGGCAAAACUAAAUAAUUAAAGAUAACGAUGAUAAGACUAAGGCAAGAACAUCAAGGUAAUUACAUCAAGCUUGGACUCUGCCUUUUUGUCCCUUUGUCUCCACGGUCCUCUGCUCCUCCGCUAAUGAAUUCAUCUGCACAUCUCCGUUCCUCAGCCAGCACAUUAACCCCGACCACUGGAGCCAUCCUUAUGGAAAAACGGUCCCUCUUCCAAGCAUGGAGAGCCACAUCGGAUUGACCUUUCCACCUCGGCCCCCUUCUCGACCCCUUGCUCUGAGUCUCGGUCCAUCUGCAUUUCAACACAGCGCCAGCGCAUACCCAACCUCCUCUUGCCCCGCGAUGACACAUUAUUGUCAACAGCCCAUGGAGGUCUCCAAACCACCCUCCUGGGUGCCCACAUGCCCUCAUAGCGUUUACUACAUUCAGGAAUGAAGUGGUGGAAACGCUUGAACGAUUUCUGUGUUGGAAAGAAAUUGAGAGUCAUUGACUUGUUCACUCCUCUGACUGAUCAGCCAUUACUACUGUAGCUCUUCCCAAACCCCCUGCUGAGACGCUCUAUGACAAUACAGAGCUAAUGAGGAGCUGUUUACAAUGGGUAUUAACAUGCAUUUCUAAUGAUCUGAUCACAAGCUGAGAUGGAUUACCGUUUCUAUCAGGUAUUAAUAUGCAUUCCAAUAGGUGUCUUUUGGCCACCACCAUAUUUUGGAGUGAUCAGUCCAUCUAAUAUUGUCAUGUUCUACAUCAGUGCUUUGUGCUUGAGAAAAGGUUGAGGAAGGUAAGUAUGAUUUGAAACACAACCCAG
rnacentral:lncRNA from 1 species